AUAGGAAUCACCUGGGAAUCUUGUUAAAAUGUAGAUUAUGAUUCUGUAGUUCUGGGGUGGCACUUGAGAUUCUAAAUUUCUAACAAGCUCCCAUGUGGUAUUGAU
rnacentral:pre_miRNA from 1 species